rnacentral:rRNA from 1 species
GAUGAACGCUAGCGGCAGGCCUAAUACAUGCAAGCCGAACGGCAAGAUUUUCAGCAAUGGAAAUCCUAGAGUGGCGUAAGGGUGCGUAACACGUAUGCAAUCUGCCCUCAACAGGAGGAUAGCUCCCCGAAAGGGGAAUUAAGACUCCAUAAGAUCUUAGAGUGGCAUCACUUAGAGAUUAAACUACCAGGGGUUGAGGAUGAGCAUGCGCAUGAUUAGUUAGUUGGCGGGGUAACGGCCCACCAAGACGAUGAUCAUUAGGGGAACUGAGAGGUUGAUCCCCCACACUGGCACUGAGAUACGGGCCAGACUCCUACGGGAGGCAGCAGUAGGGAAUAUUGGACAAUGGGUGCAAGCCUGAUCC